rnacentral:rRNA from 1 species
AGCGAACGCUGGCGGCAUGCCUAACACAUGCAAGUCGCACGGGGGGGCUUCGGCCUCCCAGUGGCGGACGGGUGAGGAACGCGUAGGGACCUGUCGAGGGGUGGGGGAUAACCGCGGGAAACUGCGGCUAAUACCGCAUGACGCCGCGGCGUGACAGCCGGGGCCAAAGGCGAAAGCCGCCCGCCGAGGGGCCUGCGUCCGAUUAGCUGGUUGGCGGGGUAGCGGCCCACCAAGGCGUCGAUCGGUAGCUGGUCUGAGAGGGUGAUCAGCCACACCGGGACUGAGACACGGCCCGGACUCCUACGGGAGGCAGCAGUGGGGAAUAUUGGACAAUGGGCGCAAGCCUGAUCCAGCAAUGCCGCGUGGGUGAAGAAGGUCUGCGGAUUGUAAAGCCCUUUCGGCGGGGACGAUGGUGACGGUACCCGCAGAAGAAGCCCCGGCUAACUUCGUG